rnacentral:rRNA from 1 species
GCACAACGCGAAGAACCUUACCAGCUUUUGACAUGUCCGGUUUGAUCGGCAGAGAUGCCUUUCUUCAGUUCGGCUGGCCGGAACACAGGUGCUGCAUGGCUGUCGUCAGCUCGUGUCGUGAGAUGUUGGGUUAAGUCCCGCAACGAGCGCAACCCUCGCCCCUAGUUGCCAUCAUUCAGUUGGGAACUCUAGGGGGACUGCCGGUGAUAAGCCGCGAGGAAGGUGGGGAUGACGUCAAGUCCUCAUGGCCCUUACAGGCUGGGCUACACACGUGCUACAAUGGCGGUGACAAUGGGCAGCGAAAAGGCGACCUCGAGCUAAUCCCAAAAAGCCGUCUCAGUUCAGAUUGCACUCUGCAACUCGAGUGCAUGAAGGUGGAAUCGCUAGUAAUCGUGGAUCAGCAUGCCACGGUGAAUACGUUCCCGGGUCUUGUACACACCG